GGCAGGCUUAACACAUGCAAGUCGAGGGGUAACAGGAGUAGCUUGCUACUUGCUGACGACCGGCGCACGGGUGCGUAACGCGUAUACAAUCUACCUUUUGCUGAGGGAUAGCCCAGAGAAAUUUGGAUUAAGACCUCAUGGUAUAUAGGAAUGGCAUCAUUCUUAUCUUAAAGGAUACUCGGUAAAGGAUGAGUAUGCGUCCUAUUAGAUAGUUGGUGAGGUAACGGCUCACCAAGUCAGCGAUAGGUAGGGGGUCUGAGAGGAUGAUCCCCCACACUGGUACUGAGACACGGACCAGACUCCUACGGGAGGCAGCAGUGAGGAAUAUUGGUCAAUGGAGGCAACUCUGAACCAGCCAUGCCGCGUGCAGGAAGACGGCCCUACGGGUUGUAAACUGCUUUUAUACACCAAGAAACGCAGGUACGUGUACCUGUUUGACGGUAGUGUAUGAAUAAGCACCGGCUAACUCCGUGCCAGCAGCCGCGGUAAUACGGAGGGUGCAAGCGUUAUCCGGAAUUAUUGGGUUUAAAGGGUACGCAGGCGGCCUAUUAAGUCAGUGGUGAAAUCCCGUCGCUCAACGACGGAACUGCCAUUGAUACUGGUUGUCUUGAGUUAUACUGAAGUAGAUAGAAUGUGUAGUGUAGCGGUGAAAUGCAUAGAUAUUACACAGAAUACCGAUUGCGAAGGCAGUCUACUAAGUAUAUACUGACGCUAAUGGACGAAAGCGUGGGGAGCGAACAGGAUUAGAUACCCUGGUAGUCCACGCCGUAAACGAUGGAUACUAGCUGUUGGGCGUAAGCUCAGUGGCCAAGCGAAAGUGAUAAGUAUCCCACCUGGGGAGUACGUUCGCAAGAAUGAAACUCAAAGGAAUUGACGGGGGCCCGCACAAGCGGUGGAGCAUGUGGUUUAAUUCGAUGAUACGCGAGGAACCUUACCAGGGCUUAAAUGUAAGUUGCAUAGAUCAGAGAUGGUCUUUUCUUCGGACCACUUACAAGGUGCUGCAUGGUUGUCGUCAGCUCGUGCCGUGAGGUGUCAGGUUAAGUCCUAUAACGAGCGCAACCCCUGUCGCUAGUUGCUAGCAGGUCAUGUCGGGGACUCUAAGGAGACUGCCGGUGCAAACCGUGAGGAAGGUGGGGAUGACGUCAGGUCAGCACGGCCCUUACGUCCAGGGCUACACACGUGCUACAAUGGCAGGUACAGAGGGCAGCUACAUAGUGAUAUGAUGCGAAUCUUCAAAGCCUGUCUCAGUUCGGAUCGAAGUCUGAAACUCGACUUCGUGAAGCUGGAAUCGCUAGUAAUCGGAUAUCAGCCAUGAUCCGGUGAAUACGUUCCCGGGCCUUGUACACACCGCCCGUCAAGCCAUGGAAUCUGGGAGUGCCUGAAGUCGGUAACCGCAAGGAGCCGCCUAGGGUAAAACUGGUAACUGGGGCU
rnacentral:rRNA from 1 species